rnacentral:rRNA from 1 species
UACGUAGGGUGCGAGCGUUAAUCGGAAUUACUGGGCGUAAAGAGCGCGCAGGCGGUUCACCAAGUCAGAUGUGAAAUAGCCGGGCUUAACCCGGAGGGGUCAUUUGAAACUGGUGGACUAGAGUACAGCAGAGGAUAGCGGAAUUCCCGGUGUAGUGGUGAAAUGCGUAGAUAUCGGGAGGAACACCAGUGGCGAAGGCGGCUAUCUGGGCUGAAACUGACGCUGAGGCACGAAAGCGUGGGGAGCAAACAGG